rnacentral:rRNA from 1 species
GACGAACGCUGGCGGCGUGCCUAACACAUGCAAGUCGAGCGGAGACAUGAGGGAGCUUGCUCCCGAGUGUUUUAGCGGCGGACGGGUGAGUAACGCGUGAGCAACCUUUCUCUCAGUGGGGAAUAACACAGGGAAACCUGUACUAAUACCGCAUGAGACCACAAUGCCGCAUGGCAUAGGGGUCAAAGAUUUAUUGCUGAGAGGUGGGCUCGCGUCCGAUUAGAUAGUUGGUGAGGUAACGGCUCACCAAGUCGACGAUCGGUAGCCGACCUGAGAGGGUGAUCGGCCACAUUGGGACUGAGAUACGGCCCAGACUCCUACGGGAGGCAGCAGUCGGGAAUAUUGCGCAAUGGAGGAAACUCUGACGCAGUGACGCCGCGUAUAGGAAGAAGGUUUUCGGGUUGUAAACUAUUGUCAUUAGGGAAGAAAAAAGACUGUACCUAAGGAGGAAGCCCCGGCUAACUAUGUG